GUUUCAUUGGACUUUGUGCGUCGUGAAGCCAUUUUCUCAUCGACAACUUCAAGACUGCGACAUGAAGAGCAGCUGCGGUGGCGAACAAAAUCAUAACCAUGUCUGCCCGACUUCGAGAAAUACUGCAAGAACAAAUACGGAAACUUCCUUCGCCCUCAGGAAUCCCACUGUGGAGGAAUUAAAGCAUAUCGUUCAAGAGACAUUUACAAUUAAAUAAGACUUUAUGCAGUUCCAGGACCAAUCAUUUUAUGGUGAGUUUUUCACUCUCCUUGAAACUAGCGACAUAAAGGACAAAGACACCAUCAAGGUGGUUCCUUCUGAACACAUUAUCACAUUGGCAGCUGAGGGUUAUUUGGCCACUAAAGGACUCCAGGAGAGCUUUGAUAGCAGUGGUACAGAGUUAUCUGAAGAUGUUGGUUGCAGUUCCACUGCAUCCAGUGAUACCAUUCUGUCUUCUCCAACGAGCACCUCCUCCCUUCGUUCUGUGUCGAGGCCAGCUCAGUUUGAGAUACCUACCUUCUCCUUUGACAUCGAGCUGGUUUUACAAGCUGCAAAUGAAGCUUACCAAAAGGACAGAACCCGAGUCAACAGUCCUUCAGUAAAAUCCAACAUUCUGGAGAAAUUAGCAGUGAGCUUUUUUGUAUACACUGCCUAUCCUUCACAAGCACAAAGGGAGCAGGUAGCAGUGGCCCUGAUUAUAUAGCACUCGUGUUGGAAGGACCCAGUAUCAUUCAAUCGUUUAAAUGGCUGGGACAACAGCCUUGAGUACAAGAUGGGGAAUUACAGAGCAACGGGCAAAGAGCAACUCCAUCAAAAAACAUGAAAAAGGCAAAGCCUGCUUUCCCAGCCACUCCAGUCCACAAUCUUGGGGAAGUUGGAACAAUAUACACCCAAGCUGUUGAGCUUGUACAGGAGGAAGGGAGGAGCUGUCGGGAGGAAACUCGAUGAGA